AAUGCCACAUGCAUAGGAACAUGGCUACACAGAGAUAAUGCAUGUCAGCUUCAGACUUGUAACAGCAAGUGGUUUUUUUUAUUGCUUUCAUGAUCUAAAUGUCCAUAUAUGGGGUGUAACUGGAAAUCAUGUGACUUCCUGAAGUUCAGCUUCCAAUUCUUGUAAACAUAUGUAAGAAUUUCACUUUCUGAUUUCUAGAAACCAAAAGUGAGGUGCUUCUCAGUAAAUAUUUUGCCCUACAGAAAUUGAUGUUCAUGUAAAUGAUCCUCCUAAUCUAUGCUAAACAUGAAAAACUACACUACUCAGCCACAGCCUGCCUUUGUAAAGCUUGGAUGUGCUGGCACAAAGAUGAAACAAUGCCAGCAACUCCAGCAGGACCAAGAAGAAAGCCUGAGCUGCAGCUGGAAUUCAGAAAUAGCAGCCAAGAGAUAUCUGCCUAGACACACCAGGAUGGAAUCUGGGGAAUGUGAAGUGGAAGCUAAGCAGUGCCGGCAGCACCUGGGAGCAGCCAGCCUCCAUACCUGCUUUGGGAAGACACAGAAGAGAAGUCUCAAGCUCAAGGGGGACCGGUUAAUAUGAGUUUCUGAAAGGACCUACCACCAUCCAUGCAGUAGAGGGAUUAAAUUACUGAAGACCAGAAGACAAAGAGAGAAAAACAUUUGGGGUCUGUGGCUUACUGCCAUUAAGACAUAUGUAAGUACAUGAGGCAGUUGGGUACAACCCCUCUCUGCAAAUAUUCAGUCUCCAUAUGAGGUUUAAGCAUCUGACUUCAGUUGCUGCCAGUAAAAUAUAUUAGACUGAAAAUGUUUCAGCAUGAAAGGCAGCCACUGAAGCCAACAUCAGGGCUUCUUUUUCCCUCAAAUAUGAGGGCAAAGCCUAAUAGUGAAAGUCAGCAAAUGAGGAAAACCAAGUCAUUCUUUGUUAGAAUGAAACUUGUUGAGAGCCAGAGCACAACAGCAGCACGGAGAAGUUCUGUUGGAGCCUGCAGUGAUUUGCAUGAGAUCAUCACCCCUCUGCUAGCAUACGGCACUUUCAGAAGGGUUGCUGAUUCCUGCUGAAUUGGGGCUGGUUUUCUCUUUUUUCCUGUCCUGUUGACACACUGCUUACAAGAGUUCACCAAGGUCAGGUUUGCCUUCUUCUGUGCUGUUAAAAAAUGGAAAACCAGUGGAGAUGUCAAAGGGGUCAGACUAAAGAAGCUGGCGUGAUUUCUGCUACAGAGCUGCUGUAUAGUCUGGGAAGUCUCUGCCAGAUUCAUUUGGUUUCAGCCGGGGGUUUCAAACAGACAGGUGAUGUCAAGUUUCUGCAGAGUUUUGUCUGGCUGUGGUUAACUAUUACUUUAAUUAAAUAAAUUCAGAUUUGGUUCAACAAUUUUUUUUCCCAGAGAGGAUGGAGCAUCAGACAGAUCCUGAAUCUGCAGAUAUUAUUCCUACCUCAUAGUCAGAAAACGCCUACCUUUGUGAACACUGUUCUGUGGAAAGGAAGAAGUGUACUGUUAAGAAUAAGUCUCCCCUAGCUUACAACAGAGGUCCUUCUCAUGAAGAUGUCAAGACAACUUGGCUAACACUUGGGCUCCUCCUGCGGACCCAAAGAAACCAAACAGCACAUGGAAUAGUUAGAAGGUGGAAGAUUCCAUGUCAAAUACAUUCAGGAUUUUCUGUUAGCAGAAAAGCCGAAUAAACCUUGCAUGCAAUCACAUAGCAACAGCAAAGCAAGGGAGAAAGUCUAAAGCAAGCCCCACAGGCUCCUCUGCCUGCCCUCCCAGAGGAACGAGAGCUGAGCUGGCAUUUCUUGGUGAAGUUCCCACUGCCAAGCACUGUGCAUGCAGUGACGCUAAGGGACACAUUCUGUUCAACUGAAUACAAGAAAGAUAACCAUCUGUGCUCAUUUUACUCAUUUCAGUUCUGAAUCUGUGCCCAUUAACCAUAUAAUGGUUGGGGGAAAAAACAGCUGGUGAGAGAAUCUGGCAAAGUAUCAAAGGGAAUUCACUGAAAAGCUGUAAUUCCAAAUAAAAAUGGCUGAAAAAGUUCAAGGAGCCUCCUCUAUAUGAUCUUGUAGCCACUAAAUAAAGAAGGAUCUAGACAAAAUAGGAUCCUGUUAGUGAACUCUGAUAAAUCUCUGUAGUCACUGAAAGGCAGGGAUGAACUCCUUGAAAUGAUAAGAAGGAUGGAAAAGGAAUCUUUCAUGACAGUUUGUUUUUUCUUGAUGUUCAGUGGCAUGUUACUGCCUAAGCCAGCCCAGCUGGAAACAGAGGCACAUAGAAAACAAGUGCCACCUGACAGCUACAUGAGAGUGAGUCUUACCCCACCGAUUCUCAAAAUAAGCUUAACUGUAUUUUAUGACAGUAACUGAUCAAAUCCAAGACACCACGUCGUCAGUCCCAAAGAUUGAAAUGUUUUAUCCACAUCUAGGAAGUGACAACCGUGCAAACUCCCAUGCUGAACUGAGAAAACUUUCAUUUCAUGUGCUGAAAGGCACGAUUGCCAAACCAGGGAACCUGAAACUAGAAGUGCACAGGAGGAUGAUUCAGCAGGGCAGCCCAGGGAUGCUGGGGUCAAGCAGCCAGGAAAAAGAGACCAUAGGCCAUGGGUAUCUGAAGCUGCAUCUGAACAUGUUUACUUGCAGUGAAGCGUUACCCAUACUGGUUACAAAAGAGGAACCUUGAGGAAAGCUGUGAUACUGCCUAAUGACUCAAUACUCACUCACAAGAAAGGCACUUCUCUAAACGGUGUGUUAUCACCAGAUAGUCUUUCAGACUUUCUUCUUUAGUGGACGCAGUGACUUGUAGUCACAUGCUCAUGCCAUUGAUCAUUCAGUAUUUCACAAAUUCUCUGGGAAAGUGCUCAGACUUGGCCAGAUAAAUAGAGCUGUGACUGUCACUGAGGCUCCCUUCUCUGUCUGGCACAGACUGAAGAUAGGGGGAGAUGUUUCCACAGCCGGCACCAGAGCUGCUGCUAAGGAUGAAGGGUGCUCACCUGUGAGUUUGAACUCGAAGGCUACUGCUAACGACAAGAAUGGCCAGAGUACAUAGUCUGUGGAUUAAAACAAGUAAAGACAUUCACAAGGUUAGGGUGCAGAAGUGGAAGGGAGUGCUGGGAUUACCACUGAACUAUUGCUUUGAGAAAUACAAGGGGGAAAAGAAAGAGGACAGGACAGUUUUAGAGAGAAAGAGCACAAAGCAACUUUUGGACCCUUUCGGGUCCCUUCGUUCUGUCUGGCAUGAAUCAGAGUACCUUGCAGCAGCUCUGAGAUGUGCUCUGACCCCCACAGCCAACGAUGGGCCCAACCACAGAGCGUUUCAGUGUGACCCAUUGGCAGUGCUCCCCAAAGGAGCCUACAGAGCAAGUUGUUUGUGCCUCUCCUGCCCCCUUUCUACAGACUGAGAGAGCUGUCAGGACAUCAGAUUAACCACAAGUAGGGAUCAAGUCGUGCUCCAGGAGUGACUAAGAGGUUUGUUAAAUAAACUGCCUGCUCAGGCUGGUAAAGGUGACUGGGAGGGCUGAUGUGUUCCCUUUAAAAGGAACAUGAGUCUUACCGAACAGAUCAUCACGAAGCAUAGAAUCAUUAAGGUUGGAAAAGACCUCUAAGGUCAUCAGUCCGACCAAAUGUUCACCUGCCACCAAUACUGCCCUCAUUUCAGGCACAUCCAAGACCAUCACAGACCUCAAGCAAAUACUGCAAAAGCCACGAUGAAGCUGCUGAUGUGAAUGAGCUACUCUGCCAAAUCCUGCAGCCCCUUGUCUUGACUAUAACUCUUGCAGUCAACACAGGCACCCAGAAUUAGGAUUCAAAACUGCACUGAAAGUAAAGGGCACAAAUUAGUUGUGCAAACAGCCUUUCUCCUCACUGUUAAAAUGCGAGGCUGCAAGGGAGGGCAGUCAGUUCGAAUGCAUGACCAGGAGCUGCUGUAAAAUUCCUUGCAGAAACAAGAGACCUAUUAUGUUUAUCACCAAUUUGCUAAGUAAGGUUAAUACUCUGGCAUUGGCCCUGCCUCACAUGCCCUUAGUAGCACUACCAAGCUUUGUCCCACUAAGAUUUUACAGUAGAAGAGAUAACACACAUUCGAUAACCCAUUAUAAACACGCACUUUUAUUCUCCCCCCUUCACCCUCAUGCCUUUGCAGCAGGGAAGAUAAUGCUCUCACCAGUGGACCUAUUUCCAGCACCUGUAACCAGCUUAUGGCUAAGGAAACAGAGACCCAUCAGCCAUUGUGGUCAGAUGAAUAGUCUGUGUGGAUAUCAAUAUCAUAAUAAAUCAUUCCACUGCUGAAAGUCAUCUUACCCUCAGAAGGAUCUGAAUGGCAACUAUUUCCAAAUCCUUACAUACAUCCAUUUACAGUAGCUGAACUGUGGGAGGAGACUGAACUAUUUUUCAGUUCGCAUGAUAGUCAGCUGUUCCUCAUUUAGGAAUGAAUCCAUUUGCCUUUGUAUUAGGCCCAAAUAAUAGCUCCUGAAAUUGAGAUGUAAUCACCAACUAAAACUAGGAUUAAGCUAACGCCACCGAACUCCUUUGUUCCUCAAAACACAUUCAAACCCCCUGACCAGAUUCUGAUCUUGAUGUGAAUCUCAACUCACUGAGUUAAAUCCAAAAGCCACACCAUUUAAGUGGUGUAUCUCAGUGGAACCGAAGUUCAGAAUCAGUCCUUAAUACUGGUGCACAUGGUACUGUGCAGAACGAGCCCCACACUAUUUAUAGCUCACACUAUAUAUAC
ensembl:lncRNA